UACGAAGGGGGCUAGCGUUGUUCGGAAUUACUGGGCGUAAAGCGCACGUAGGCGGACUAUUAAGUCAGGGGUGAAAUCCUGGAGCUCAACUCCAGAACUGCCUUUGAUACUGAUGGUCUCGAGUCCGGAAGAGGUGAGUGGAAUUCCGAGUGUAGCGGUGAAAUGCGUAGAUAUCUGGAGGAACACCGGUGGCGAAGGCGGCAUCCUGGACCGGCAUUGACGCUGAGGCGCGAAAGCUAGGGGAGCGAACAGG
rnacentral:rRNA from 1 species